UCCGAUCUGACCACAUCCGUGGUCUAGGUCACAUUUGACCUCAUUCCUGUGGUAAUGUUAAGAAGUGUAAACCAGUGAUUCAUUAAAGUGUCGUGAGAUAUCAACUGGUGUGCUGAGGGAAAUUAACCAAUUUUACUUAACUAGUCAGAAAAUUAUUAUUUAUUUACUGCAAAUAAUUCGACGUGGUUCGUCUAUAACCGCCACGUAUAGUGACAGGCAGAACAAUUGAAUCCUCUUCCACUAGAUGGCAGAAGGUAGAUAAUUAACCUCUCCAUCUACUUGUUGUCAUUCAAACAGAGUAGGUCAUGACGCUUGAAGUGAGACAGCAGUGUUAGAGAUGGAUAAAUACUGGUAAGGAAAAACUGUCUCCGAACUGGGUUCUGGAGACAGUUCUAUCCCAGACUAAGGUCCUAACAUGAUAUGAGUAGUGGCCAGAAGAAAGCAGAACGAGUGAGUUCAAGAUGACACAUGAAAGUUGUCUUUCUUUUUGGAUUUACUGUGAUGUGACUGAAGGUGGGCGUGGGUUGCUGAGGCUCAACGGACUGUGAACAGGUGCGUGUGUGUGAGAGGGAACAGGUGUGUGUGAUUACGGGAGGGAGAGACUUGUGGGUUUGGGAUGGAAGGGUGAAUCUCUCUGUUGGUGCUGGUUGGAGCUCACGUCUGGCGGCUUGGCACUCUCGGGAGGGAGCGGGGUGUCGGUCGUGGCUGUUUAGGGCCGCCGGCGACGAAGACAGCUAGUGCAGGGGGUUAGCUGUUCCUGCGCCAGUAGGGGAGGCUGGACGCCUCUUGUAGAAUAGUCAGGGCCGGGUUUAGUGAGUGCCGGGUCUGCUGCUGCUCCCCACCGCCGUCGAAGCGUCUCUUCCACCGGGUGGAUUGGAUCCGCGCUGUCCAAACGAAGCCGUUUUCUCCGUAGAGUUGGACGGCGUCUCAAGCUCAGACUCUGGGGGGGUCUCGCCGGACGGGCGAAUUGAGUAAUUACUCUUUUAAUUAGGUUAUAUUUGUUACUGUAUUUGAAUGUGUUGGCCUGUGUGGGCGGGAGCGUAGUGGGGACAGCUUACUUGAGCAGGAGCGAGGGAGGGGCUUCCACUUGUCACAUGUGUGCAGUGCUAGGCAGGUGUGUAGUGCAGUGCCUCCAGUAGAGGGUGAUAGCGUGCCGUGUGUGUGGUGUGCCAUAAGUUUGCUGUGAUUUGUAGUGGGUAAUAGUGGGAGUUUUCCAGACUCUUGCAGUGAAGAAUCCUCUUUGGCUGUCGUCGCUCAUCAGCCCCCUGUUUUAUGAACUGCCUUUCGUACCAAAAUAAAGAUUAUUGCAUUUUGUAUAUUCAUAGUCUCUGGGUGAUUUUUGAGGCUCUGACCUGGUGACCUUCACCAUUUUAUUUGAACCCCAAUAUUUAUUACGUUACUUUUACCGGGAAACCGUGCAGACUUAUUCUGCUGUAUGCGUGGAAAAACUGGCCCACUAGGUAACCGUGCCAUGCCCAAAUGUUUGUUCCCUAAAGUCCCGAUUUCAUGGCUAGUGAGAGUGCUUGCGCACCGUGCCCAAGUUAUGGCAGCUUUGCUGGUCACGUACGUGCACAACCGUAAACGUAACCACGCAAGUAGAUUUCACACUAAGUAAAGUGAGUAAAUUGAUGGUGAUAAAAUAAAUGGUAAAUAAAUCAGAAUUUACCGGAAUUAACAUUAAAUUAAAUACAAGUAAACUGUGUGUGAUUCUGCCAUGUGUCUAGUCCAGUCACCAAUGUUUUUAUGUAUCUUCAUUGCCAGAGAUUUUUCGCUCACUGACAGCACAGCACAGCAGUGAAACUAUAGUGCGUGUUGAUUUAUUUAUUUUAGGAAUAUAAUGAGCUUUGUGUAUGACUCUAAAAUAAAGUAAGGGUACAGAUAAAUAACUUU